ACAAGGGUGGGCGGGGCUUGCAGGGGAAAAGAGGGAGGAGCCUGGAGAGGACACAAACAGAAGAAGUUGCACAAGUUAGAGACGAAAAGACGAGGAAUAUGGUUUUACCUGGUGCCGUCUCUCCUGCUCCUCUCUGCUCUUCUCCAUCUCUUCCCUUAGAGCGCGAUUAGCCAGAGAGCUGUUGUUCUCUAACUGAAUCUUCAACUCCUCCAGCUCAGCAUGCUGCCUCUUGUUGGGCAAGUCUCUCCUUCUCAUCAGCAACUUCCUUGUAGAGUCGUCUCCUCUGCUGCUGUAAGGCAUUCUCUUCCUCUUGCAGCUGCUUCUCAAACCUAACACGUGCACGCACACACACACACACGCACACACAUAGUUUCACACAGCCCAACUCUGUACUACAAUAAAAAAAAUUCUCAAGAUGCAUACCUUACAAAUUACAUAAUACCAAAGUGUAACUGUAGAGAAAUUAGCUGACUUCUGAUCAACUGGCAGGGAA